rnacentral:rRNA from 1 species
UACGUAGGGUGCAAGCGUUGCCCGGAUUUAUUGGGCGUAAAGCGCGCGCAGGCGGUCCUUUAAGUCUGAUGUGAAAGCCCACGGCUCAACCGUGGAGGGUCAUUGGAAACUGGGGGACUUGAGUACAGAAGAGAAGAGUGGAAUUCCACGUGUAGCGGUGAAAUGCGUAGAGAUGUGGAGGAACACCAGUGGCGAAGGCGACUCACUGGCCCGAUACUGACGCUGAGGCACGAAAGCGUGGGGAGCAAACAGG